GAGAGGGAUAGUUUCAUGCACAUUUAUUUCCCCUUAACAGUUGAUUAUGUUGCUUGCCUGCUCUUUUAGGAACCUCCUUUUCUCCUGACCUGUGACCAGUGAUUGUUGUAUGUUCAUGAGCCAUCUCAGAGGUGUUUGUUUUGAGCAGGGUGUCAUCUUGUUGGGAGGCUUGGCACCCAUGGCAGGAUCCCUUAACUCUUCUGCAUAUGCUGGGUGUGGCUUGUAGGUGGACCUGGGAGAGUCCAAUGCAUGUACCUGCCCCUCUGGGUUGGGCUUCCUAGAGGGCAUAAAAGGGCUGCCUUUCUGGGAAUCAGUCUCUCUGCUGGCCUGCUGCUUCAACCCCAGCCUUUGUUCCUUUGUUUAAUUUGCUGCACCUCAUAUCUACCCACGCCAUCAACUUAGUUAAGUUGUUUGUUAG